GGCUGUUGGUCUAGGGGUAUGAUUCUCGCUUUGGGUGCGAGAGGUCCCGGGUUCGAAUCCCGGACAAGCCC
rnacentral:tRNA from 1 species